rnacentral:rRNA from 1 species
AGGACGAACGCUGGCGGCGUGCUUAACACAUGCAAGUGGGGCGACGAACCGGACUUCGGUCCGGGGCAAAGCCGCGAACGGGUGAGUAACACGUGGGCAGCCUGCCCUUGACACUGGAAUAACAGCUGGAAACAGCUGCUAAUACCGGAUACGACCUUCGAUGGCAUCAUCUGGAGGUGGAAAGCUCCGGCGGUCAAGGAUGGGCUCGCGGCCUAUCAGCUUGUUGGCGAGGUAACGGCUCACCAAGGCUUCGACGGGUA